rnacentral:rRNA from 1 species
AUGAAUUGCUUAAGUUGGAACUGCCGAGGGGCGGGGAACUCUCGUACACGUGAUUUGUCGGCUCUAAUUCGAGCCCAUUCCCCAAGUUUGGUGUUUUUGUGUUAAACUAGGAAUAAAAACAAGAUGUAUCGUCUUUGUAAUCGUUUGGGUCUUCGUGGUUUUGAGGGAAUUAGUAGUUCUGGAAACAUUGGUGGUCUAGCACUUUUUUGGAAUGAGUCUCUACAUGCUGAUGUUCAAGACACGAAUAAAAGGUGGAUUGAUCUUCAUGUUCAUGUGUCACCUGACAGCCCUCUUUUGUUUAUGGCGAACCGCGGGUCGAAAAUAGACAUCUUAUGUGGGAUGGCUUGA